ensembl:lncRNA
GUCACACCUGUACCUUAACUGUACAUUCUGGGCUUAGUAGGUUGAUUCACUCAAGUACUUUGAAAACUAUUAAAGAUCUCUGAACUGAGUCACUGGCUGCUGGUACAAUCAGGACAGAAGUUGUCACUGAUGGAUUCCAGAAGGAGUCUCUGUCACCAUGAAGAAAAGAACAUGCCUGGGUUGCCCACAGGAACCAGGAGAAGGAUGGGAGACAGGUGAACAGACAGAGGCUCCCUGACCAAGUCCAGCCUAGAUGUCAAGACAGCUGCAGACAUGGCACCUCUGUCAUAGGAUCCCCACUGCCAAUGGGUCUGUGAAAGAAGAGGCAGUUCUUACAUCCCACAUAUAUACAGAUGAUUCCAGAAGCAGAAUGAAGGUGACUCAGCACUUUACAAUCAUUUGCUGGAAGUGAUUCUAACAGAGGUCGUGUGUCCAACAGAGGUUAGUCCCAGAAUUGGGGUCACCAAGGCUUUCCUGUUGGCUCAGUGGUGGGAAAUCUACCUGAGAGUGCAGGAGACAUGGGCUUGAUCGCUGGUCUGGGAAGAUCCCGCGUGCCAUGAGCAGCUAAGUGUGUUUCACCACAACUAUUCAGCCCAUGCACCACAACUCCUGAAGUCCAAGUGCCUAGAGCUUGUGCUCUGCAACAAGGGAGGCCACUGGAAUGAGAAGCCCAACGACCACAACAAAGAGCAUCCCCUGUUCACUGCAACCGGAGAAAAGCCCUCCAGGCAACAGAGAUCCAGCACAGCC